CCGCCCCCGCUCGCGUCUCCGCCCGUCCGGGGCGGGCCCCGUGACGCGCUCCCGGUUCCUGCGGCGGGGCCAUGCUGGGGGAGGCGGUCACGCUGCAGCUCGGCCACUACUCGGGCUGCGUGGGCGCGCACUGGUGGGGGCUGCAGGCCGCCGCGCUGCGCAGCCCCGCCGAGCCCGCCGAGCUCCGCGCGGCCGCGCUGCUCCGCUUCGGGCGGGGCCCGGGCGGCACCGAGAGCCCCGCGCCGCGGCUGGUGGCGCUGGAGCUGAAAGGCGGCGUGGGCGCGCUCAGACCGGACGAGGCGGGCACGGAGCCGCCGGUGAGCUGGGACGGGGCUAUCGCCGAUUACCGGGACCGGGACUGCGCGUCGCGGGACACCGGGAGCCGCAGGGGAGACGCUGCCGGGGACGCCAAGGGGAAUCCCGGUGCUGCGGGACCAGGUGCAGCUCCUGCAGGCUCCCAGGACGCUCCCUCAGUGAGGCUCUGGUCUGAUUACCUCAACGUGCCCCUGCACCCCAAGAGCCUCUACGUGAUCCGGCAGUACCUGCACGAUGGGGACUGUGGUUGUCUCGAAGCCUUUGGGCAGGGUGAAAGUCUCCUGCAGGACCCUGCCUGUGUGGAGGAGUUGGAAGAUCGGCUGCACUUCUACGUGGAGGAGUGUGACUACCUUCAGGGGUUUCAGGUGCUUUGUGACCUGCACAAUGGAUUCUCUGGAGUUGGUGCCAAGGUGACAGAGCUGCUCCACGACGAGUACUCACGGAAGGGGAUCCUGACCUGGGGCCUGACUCCAGCCCUGAGUGCUGUGGGAGACCCUCAGAAGAGUUUCUGCAGACUGAUGAACACAGCCCUGGGCAUUGCCCACCUCUCCCGUCACAGCUCUCUCUUCUGCCCCCUGUCCCUCAGCGGGAGUUUGGGACUCAAGCCAGAACCUCCUGUGACCUUUCCAUACAUAAAUUACAAUGCAUCCCUGAACUACCACAGCAGUGCAAUUCUGGCUGCAGCACUCGACACCCUCACGGCUCCCUACAGGCUCUGCUCCUCCCAGGCCUCCAUGCUGCACUUUGCCGACUCCCUCACCUUCUCUGGGAGGAAGGUUGUGGCUGCCUGGGCAGCUCUUCCCUUCCCUGCCUUGUCGGGCUCCUCGCUCCCUGAUGUUCUAAGUGCCCACCAGGACCUGCCCUGGAAGCUCCUGUCCUCCUGGAAGGAGCAGAAGGUCAGCUCCUGCUUUGCUCAGUCUGUUGUGCUGCGAGGAAUGUGCCAGGAGAAAGCCACCAGCAGCUGCCCAGGCCAGCCCAGGUCCCCCCUGCACAGCUGUGAGAGCCCUGGGCAGGUGCUGCAGCACCACCUGCACUCCCAGUUCCCAGGAGCCUUCAGCACAUGCCAGGUGCUCCAGCAGCCCUGCCACACCCAGCCUCCCUUCCCCCAGUUCUUCUCUCCUCUCCUGAGCAGACGAGGCUUCCUCCUGGAUAGAGCUCAGGGCUUUUCCUCAGCAGGUAACAAACACCCCUUCAACCCUGCAGCACAGAGAUCAGGGCCUGACAGAGCUCAAAAUGAUCAACAACAGCCCAGAGUUAUUAACAACAAACCGAAAUUAUUGAAAACCAAAAUUACUGAAAACCAAAAUUACUGAAAACCAAAAUUACCAACAACGAGCCGAGCCGGUGUGCAGAGCUGAGCUCGGGCUCGGUGCUUGUGACAGCACAGGGGACAAGCUGAGGCUGUGGUGGCUCUUUAACCCCUGCAGGUGUGGAGAGCAUCCCUGUGCUGGCAGCCCUGCACAGCUGUGAGAGCUGAGCUCCAGCUCGGUGCUUGUGACAGCACAGGGACAAGCUGAGGUUCUGGUGGCUCUUUAACCCCUUGUGACAGCUCCAGCCGGGUGCUGUGACAGCACAGGGACAAGCUGAGGCUGUGGUGGCUCUUUAACCCCUUGUGACAGCUCCAGCUGGGUGCUGUGACAGCACAGGGGACAAGCUGAGGCUGUGGUGGCUCUUUAACCCCUGCUGUGCUGUCACCCUGCAGAG